GACGAACGCUGGCGGCGUGCUUAACACAUGCAAGUCGAACGAUGAACCGCUUUCGGGCGGGGAUUAGUGGCGAACGGGUGAGUAACACGUGGGCAAUCUGCCCUGCACUCUGGGACAAGCCCUGGAAACGGGGUCUAAUACCGGAUAUGACCGUCUGCCGCAUGGUGGAUGGUGUAAAGCUCCGGCGGUGCAGGAUGAGCCCGCGGCCUAUCAGCUUGUUGGUGAGGUAGUGGCUCACCAAGGCGACGACGGGUAGCCGGCCUGAGAGGGCGACCGGCCACACUGGGACUGAGACACGGCCCAGACUCCUACGGGAGGCAGCAGUGGGGAAUAUUGCACAAUGGGCGAAAGCCUGAUGCAGCGACGCCGCGUGAGGGAUGACGGCCUUCGGGUUGUAAACCUCUUUCAGCAGGGAAGAAGCGAAAGUGACGGUACCUGCAGAAGAAGCGCCGGCUAACUACGUGCCAGCAGCCGCGGUAAUACGUAGGGCGCAAGCGUUGUCCGGAAUUAUUGGGCGUAAAGAGCUCGUAGGCGGCUUGUCACGUCGGUUGUGAAAGCCCGGGGCUUAACCCCGGGUCUGCAGUCGAUACGGGCAGGCUAGAGUUCGGUAGGGGAGAUCGGAAUUCCUGGUGUAGCGGUGAAAUGCGCAGAUAUCAGGAGGAACACCGGUGGCGAAGGCGGAUCUCUGGGCCGAUACUGACGCUGAGGAGCGAAAGCGUGGGGAGCGAACAGGAUUAGAUACCCUGGUAGUCCACGCCGUAAACGGUGGGCACUAGGUGUGGGCAACAUUCCACGUUGUCCGUGCCGCAGCUAACGCAUUAAGUGCCCCGCC
rnacentral:rRNA from 1 species